GAAAGCUUGGUAUAGCUAUAGCUCUUCUCUCCGUCAUCUCUCUAUCUGUCUCUGAGUUGAGGUAAUCAUGUUAUGCAGAGAGAGAGUAGAAGUACAGAAUGGGGGGAAUUCUGAGAGUAGCUGGAAAUUUUGUCACGCUUGCACUUUCCAGCAUAUCCAGCGCUGUGGGUUUGGUCCUAAGUGUCAGGUGGAAAAUGCGGUGUGUUGGGCAAACUGAAAAACUCUUCUCGCUUUGCCUCCGGUGAACCAUUCAUCAAUGAACAGGGUUUUUCAAACGGAAGACCGGCAAAUGCUGAAUUGGCGGCGAAUAAUAUGUAUGGUGGUGAUUUUUGCAUUUCCUUUCCAUAUAUAAAAAAGUGGUAUCUUCUUUUUGGACUAUCUGCAAGUUGCACGAUUAUAGAAUCGCCCCCCGUAACUGAUUUUGCUAGAGUGUUUGUAGCCGCUACUUUCAAGAUCAACCAGCCAUUUCCUACUGAUGAUGAUACCCAGCUUCACUUUGUAGAUGGCGAGGAAUUUCAAUCACUAUCUCCUACUCGUAUUCUCGGGUCAGUAUAACAUUAAAAAUUAAUGUUAAGAUUGUAUGUAAUGAAUGAGUGCAGGUUUCUGUAUAAGGCAGCCAUAGUAAUGCCCGAUGAGGAUAGAACUAGAAGCGGAUCAUGGAAGCUUUGUAACAAGAGAAUAAAGUUGACUUGAUUGAAAUGAAUGAGAGAAGAAAGAUAUUUUGGAGAGAAAAGAUUGGAUCUUAUUGAUUGAUUA